rnacentral:rRNA from 1 species
ACAGAGGGUGCAAGCGUUAAUCGGAAUUACUGGGCGUAAAGCGCGCGUAGGCGGCUUGACAAGUCGAGUGUGAAAUCCCCGGGCUUAACCUGGGACCUGCAUUCGAAACUGUCUUGCUAGAGUAUGGGAGAGGGAAGUGGAAUUUCAGGUGUAGCGGUGAAAUGCGUAGAUAUCUGAAGGAACAUCAGUGGCGAAAGCGACUUCCUGGACCAAUACUGACGCUCAGGUGCGAAAGCGUGGGGAGCAAACAGGAUUAGAUACCCUGGUAGUCCACGCCAUAAACGAUGACAACUAGAUGUUGGGAGGGUUAGCCUCUCGGUGUCGUAGCUAACGCGUUAAGUUGUCCGCCUGGGGAGUACGGCCGCAAGGUUG